GGAGGAAAGUAGGGGAUCGCAAGACCUUGCGCUCUUGGAGCGGCCGAUGCCUGAUUAGCUAGUUGGUGAGGUAAAGGCUUACCAAGGCGACGAUCAGUAGCUGGUCUGAGAGGACGACCAGCCACACUGGGACUGAGACACGGCCCAGACUCCUACGGGAGGCAGCAGUGGGGAAUUUUGGACAAUGGGGGAAACCCUGAUCCAGCCAUGCCGCGUGAGUGAAGAAGGCCUUCGGGUUGUAAAGCUCUUUCAGCCGGAACGAAACGGUCACGGCUAAUACCUGUGACUACUGACGGUACCGGAAGAAGAAGCACCGGCUAACUACGUGCCAGCAGCCGCGGUAAUACGUAGGGUGCAAGCGUUAAUCGGAAUUACUGGGCGUAAAGCGUGCGCAGGCGGUUUUGUAAGUCAGAUGUGAAAUCCCCGGGCUUAACCUGGGAACUGCGUUUGAAACUACAAGGCUAG
rnacentral:rRNA from 1 species